UUACACGUAGCGCGCACACUCCGCGAACCACUUCCGACGCAGCGAGUCGAUCGUCAGGAGUCCCUCGAGUCCUGGUUCUCCUUGCUUCUCGAUGGCCGAUCGAGCAUUCAGUCGCGCUUCGUUGCCCGCCCACGGAAGCGUCGCCGCUUUCCCGCGCGAUCGCAAACCGUUCGAUCGGCUCAUCGUCCGGCGCGGCAAGCGAACAACGAUCGAUUCACGAAGUACCGUAGGUCGACACAAUGAAGAAGAAGAAUAGGAAUCGAUCGCUCGUUAUCCUGCUGGUCCAACCGAUCCGGUCGUCUGGAGACAGUCCAGUGACUGAACGAUAGACAACCGAACGAC
rnacentral:misc_RNA from 1 species